rnacentral:rRNA from 1 species
UCCUACGGGAGGCAGCAGUGGGGAAUAUUGGGCAAUGGGCGCAAGCCUGACCCAGCAACGCCGCGUGAAGGAAGAAGGCUUUCGGGUUGUAAACUUCUUUUCUUAGGGACGAAGCAAGUGACGGUACCUGAGGAAUAAGCCACGGCUAACUACGUGCCAGCAGCCGCGGUGAUACGUAGGUGGCAAGCGUUAUCCGGAUUUACUGGGUGCAAAGGGCGAGUAGGCGGGGACGGAAGUCAGAUGGGAAAACCACG